UAGGGAAUCUUCGGCAAUGGGGGGAACCCUGACCGAGCAACGCCGCGUGAGUGAAGAAGGUUUUCGGAUCGUAAAGCUCUGUUGUUAAGGAAGAACGAGUGUGAGAAUGGAAAGUUCAUACUGUGACGGUACUUAACCAGAAAGGGACGGCUAACUACGUGCCAGCAGCCGCGGUAAUACGUAGGUCCCGAGCGUUGUCCGGAAUUAUUGGGCGUAAAGAGCUUGUAGGCGGUUCGUCGCGUCUGGUGUGAAAGCCCAUCGCUUAACGGUGGGUUUGCGCCGGGUACGGGCGGGCUAGAGUGCAGUAGGGGAGACUGGAAUUCCCGGUGUAACGGUGGAAUGUGUAGAUAUCGGGAAGAACACCAAUGGCGAAGGCAGGUCUCUGGGCUGUUACUGACGCUGAGAAGCGAAAGCGUGGGGAGCGAACAGG
rnacentral:rRNA from 1 species